AAUGCGUGUAGCUAAGGAGUACUAAUCGCCCGUGUGGCUUGACCAUAUAUCGCCC
rnacentral:rRNA from 1 species